rnacentral:misc_RNA from 1 species
CUGGAGCAGAUAUGGAUUAUCUCAAUUUCCUGCCACUGCUCUGUUUCAUAUGGGCAUGCAUCCAUGUCUUCACAUCUUAUAAGCUUGGCCGCCGGAAGUCCCUUCCACCGGGUCCCCGCCCUUUACCGUUCAUCGGAAACAUAUUCCAGCUCGGCGACAAACCCCACCAAGACCUUGCAAAACUCUCAAAAACUUUUGGACCUCUUGUGACCCUCGAGCUAGGUAGCUUAACAACUAUAGUCGUAUCUUCUCCUGAUCUUGCCAAAGAAGCAUUAAUCAAACACGACCAAGCCUUAUUUAGCCGGACAAUUCCAGAAAACAUUCGCGCGUAUAACCACCACAAUAAUUCGGUGGUGUGGUUGCCCUCAUCAACUCAUUGGAGAAACCUCAGGAAGAUCGGUGCGACGCAAAUGUUCACAGUGCAAAGGCUCGACGCUAGCCAAGAAGUUCGUCGAAAAAAGGUGCAACAAUUGCUAGAUUUUGUGUAUGAAAAUUGCAAGAAGGAUCAAGCCAUUGAUAUUGGUCAAGCUGCCUUCACCACAACCCUUAAUCUAAUGUCAAGCACCUUCUUCUCUAUUGAUUUGGCGGGAUAUUCUUCUGAUAUUUCACAUGAGUUUAAUGACCUUGUAGUUAAAAUAAUGGAAGAAACUGGAAGGCCAAAUCUUGCAGACUAUUUCCCCAUCCUUAGUUUAGUGGAUCCACAAGGUGCUUACAAACGCACGAAGAUUUACUUUGAAAGAUUACUUCAACUUUUUGAUGGUAUCAUCAACGAUCGGAUCGCUUCAGGAAGGACAUCUAAGGUAAGCCAAAGCCAUGAUGUACUCGAGUCGCUUCUCAUGCUUGUCAAAGAAGGCAAUUCCGAAAUAAGCCUUCUUGAUAUAAAGCAUCUGCUCUUGGUGAGCACUUUAUCUCUUUCCUCUCUUAUAUAUAAUGCACCAGAUGAUUUUUUUUUAGGCCAAGUUUGAGCAUAUUGUUAGAGAUUUUGAAUUCCAUUCUACAAAUUUCUCUGUUGUCAAUGUAGGAUUAUUUUGUUGCGGGUACUGACACAACCGCAAGGACAUUAGAGUGGACAAUGGCAGAGCUACUCCACAACCCUGAAAAACUUGCAAAAGCUAAAGGCGAGCUCAAAGCAUUUGAGGGGGUAGUCCAAGAAGCUGACUUGUCCAAGUUCCCUUAUCUGCAAGCAAUAGUUAAAGAGACUUUUCGAUUGCACCCACCGGCUCCAUUCCUGGUGCCCCGUAAAGCUGAAUCUGAGGUUGAGAUAAGCCGCUUCAGGAUUCCCAAAAAUGCGCAAAUACUAGUCAACGUCUGGGCAAUGGGAACAGAUGCAAGCAUAUGGCAGAACCCAUAUAGCUUCGAGCCUGAGAGGUUUCUAGAUAGCAAAAUUGACGUGAGAGGGAGAGAUUUUGAGCUAAUCCCAUUUGGAGCCGGAAGAAGGAUUUGCCCAGGAUUGCCAUUAGCGCACAGGAUGGUCCACUUAAUGUUGGCUUCUCUUAUCCAUUCAUUCGAGUGGAAGCUGGCAAAUGGGAUGAAGGCUAAGGACAUGGACAUGAAUGAAACAUUUGGCCUCACAUUACGCAAGACUGAGCCUCUCUUGGCAGUCCCACAUCUCCAUUAAACCUAAACAGCAAACUUUUUCCUUUCAUUUCCUUUUUCUGUAUCCCGAAUCAAAAUUAUAUUUAAUGAAUCUUUAAUUUUAAAUAAAACCAAAUUGGCUGGUGUAGUUUGGUUUUACUGCUUAAACUAAAUAAUAAAUUAAAUCAAAAUUAUGUGUUAUUG